rnacentral:rRNA from 1 species
UACGUAGGUGGCAAGCGUUGUCCGGAUUUAUUGGGCUUAAAGGGUGCGUAGGCGGUCGUAUAAGUCAGUGCUGAAAUAUCGCGGCUUAACCGGGAGGGUGGCAUUGAUACUGCAUGACUUGAGUAAAGUUGAGGUUGGCGGAAUUGACGGUGUAGCGGUGAAAUGCUUAGAUAUCGUCAAGAACACCUAUUGCGAAGGCAGCUAACUGAGCUUUAACUGACGCUGAGGCACGAAAGUGUGGGGAUCAAACAGG